rnacentral:rRNA from 1 species
UACGUAGGGUGCGAGCGUUGUCCGGAAUUAUUGGGCGUAAAGGGCUCGUAGGCGGUUUGUCGCGUCGGGAGUGAAAUCCACUGGCUUAACUGGUGGCUUGCUUUCGAUACGGGCAGACUGGAGGUAUGCAGGGGAGAACGGAAUUCCUGGUGUAGCGGUGAAAUGCGCAGAUAUCAGGAGGAACACCGGUGGCGAAGGCAGGUCUCUGGGCAUUAACUAACGCUGAGGAGCGAAAGCAUGGGGAGCGAACAGG